CGGGAUAGCCCAGGGAAACCUGGAUCAAUACCGGAUGCGAGGGCGGCCGCACAAGCGGCCGUCGGGAAAGGCGCUUCGGCGCCGCCGGGGGAUGGGUCCGCGUCCCAUUAGCUAGACGGUGGGGUGACGGCCCACCGUGGCGAUGAUGGGUAGCCGGCCUGAGAGGGUGGACGGCCACAUUGGAACUGAGACACGGUCCAGACUCCUACGGGAGGCAGCAGCUAAGAAUCUCCGCAAUGGGCGAAAGCCUGACGGAGCGACGCCGCGUGAACGAAGAAGGCCGUGAGGUUGUAAAGUUCUCUUCGGGAGGGGGAAUGAGGCUGCCAGGCAAUGGGCGGCCGAUGACGUGAAUCCCGGAAUAAGCCCCGGCUAACUACGUGCCAGCCGCAGC
rnacentral:rRNA from 1 species